GACGAACGCUGGCGGCGCGCCUAACACAUGCAAGUCGAACGAGCGAGCGAGAGCUUGCUUUCUCGAGCGAGUGGCGAACGGGUGAGUAACGCGUGAGGAACCUGCCUCAAAGAGGGGGACAACAGUUGGAAACGACUGCUAAUACCGCAUAAGCCCACGGCUCGGCAUCGAGCAGGGGGAAAAGGAGCAAUCCGCUUUGAGAUGGCCUCGCGUCCGAUUAGCUAGUUGGUGGGGUAACGGCCCACCAAGGCGACGAUCGGUAGCCGGACUGAGAGGUUGAACGGCCACAUUUGGACUGAGACACGGCCCAGACUCCUACGGGAGGCAGCAGUGGGGAAUAUUGCACAAUGGGGGAAACCCUGAUGCAGCGACGCCGCGUGGAGGAAGAAGGUCUUCGGAUUGUAAACUCCAGUUGUUGGGGAAGAUAAUGACGGUACCCAACAAGGAAGUGACGGCUAACUACGUG
rnacentral:rRNA from 1 species